rnacentral:rRNA from 1 species
GUGUCAGCAGCCGCGGUAACACGUAGGGGACGAGCGUUGUCCGGAUUUAUUGGGCGUAAAGCGCGCGUAGGCGGCCAUGCAAGUCGGGUGUGAAAUCCCGGGGCUCAACUCCGGGACUGCAUCCGAUACUGCACGGCUCGAGGUAGGUAGGGGAGAUCGGAAUUCCUGGUGUAGCGGUGAAAUGCGCAGAUAUCAGGAGGAACACCGGUGGCGAAGGCGGAUCUCUGGGCCUUACCUGACGCUGAUGCGCGAAAGCUAGGGGAGCGAACAGGAUUAGAAACCCCUGUAGUCC